GAUGAACGCUGGCGGCGUGCCUAAUACAUGCAAGUCGAGCGAACGGACGAGAAGCUUGCUUCUCUGAUGUUAGCGGCGGACGGGUGAGUAACACGUGGAUAACCUACCUAUAAGACUGGGAUAACUUCGGGAAACCGGAGCUAAUACCGGAUAAUAUUUUGAACCGCAUGGUUCAAAAGUGAAAGACGGUCCUGCUGUCACUUAUAGAUGGAUCCGCGCUGCAUUAGCUAGUUGGUAAGGUAACGGCUUACCAAGGCAACGAUGCAUAGCCGACCUGAGAGGGUGAUCGGCCACACUGGAACUGAGACACGGUCCAGACUCCUACGGGAGGCAGCAGUAGGGAAUCUUCCGCAAUGGGCGAAAGCCUGACGGAGCAACGCCGCGUGAGUGAUGAAGGUCUUCGGAUCGUAAAACUCUGUUAUUAGGGAAGAGCAUAUGUGUAAGUAACUGUGCACAUCUUGACGGUACCUAAUCAGAAAGCCACGGCUAACUACGUG
rnacentral:rRNA from 1 species